ACCUGGGUGGCUCAGUCUGUUGAGCAUCUGACUUCAGCUCAGGUCAUGAUCCCACAGUUUUGUGGGUUCAAGCCCCACAUUGGGCU
rnacentral:tRNA from 1 species